rnacentral:snoRNA from 11 species
GAACUUGGUAAAAGGUAGCCCAAUGUAAAGGGCAUAGCAGAAGUUCAAUCUUGAGGUUACCAUCACAUGCACUACCAUCUUAAGGUUC